rnacentral:lncRNA from 1 species
CUUACAUACUUUUGGGCUAAAAGUUUUAUAAAAAAUGACUGGUAUAGCUCAACAAAUACCAAAUUUUGGUAUUUAACCAACAAAAAAUUCUAAUUUGUGCACAAAAAAUUGUCAAGUAAUAGAACAACCAAACAAGCGCCAUCUGUUGAAAUCUAUGAAAUAAUACUGGGACUGGGCUGAAAACUUUCUGACAGAAGAUCGUUACCAUGAAACGUAGAAGAGUAUUUUCAUGGCGUCGAGUUUUCGGAUUUAGUGGGAACGAACAUUAACGGUCGUUGAAUUUUAAAUUCAAAUCCGCGAAAAAUAAGGUACCAUACUAUAACACCUUGGUGAGGAGUGGGCAGGGGAAGGUAUUAAAGGAAUUCAUUUAAUGUUAUUUUAAUUGUAUAUUUGUAAUAUUAAUAAAAAG